AACGAACGCUGGCGGCAUGCCUAACACAUGCAAGUCGAACGAGACCUUCGGGUCUAGUGGCGCACGGGUGCGUAACGCGUGGGAACCUGCCCUUAGGUUCGGAAUAACUCCCCGAAAGGGGUGCUAAUACCGGAUAAUGUCUUCGGACCAAAGAUUUAUCGCCUUUGGAUGGGCCCGCGUUGGAUUAGCUAGUUGGUAGGGUAAAAGCCUACCAAGGCGACGAUCCAUAGCUGGUCUGAGAGGAUGAUCAGCUACACUGGGACUGAGACACGGCCCAGACUCCUACGGGAGGCAGCAGUGGGGAAUAUUGGACAAUGGGCGAAAGCCUGAUCCAGCAAUGCCGCGUGAGUGAUGAAGGCCUUAGGGUUGUAAAGCUCUUUUACCCGGGACGAUAAUGACAGUACCGGGAGAAUAAGCUCCGGCUAACUCCGUG
rnacentral:rRNA from 1 species